rnacentral:tRNA from 1 species
AAGGGAGACCUAAUUCCGGUAGGAGACGAAAAAAAAGUAGUCCCAACCAAGAAUCAAUCCCAAAAGGUCGGAACGAGGUAUGAGGCUUUCAAACUAGGUUCUGGGUUCAUAAAAGACCUGAAUCAGGAACAAGGGCUAUUAGCUCAGGUGGUUAGAGCGCACCCCUGAUAAGGGUGAGGUCCCUGGUUCGAGUCCAGGAUGGCCCACCUGCACAGGUGGCAAAAACAAGAGAAGCUCCGAAUCAGCACCUUAUCUUAUAUACAUAUAUAAGAGAGAAUGCUGGCUCUGAGUAAAGAGUCCAGAGGAACCUUGAAAACUGCAUAGAGCUAGGUGAAAAAGCCAAAAAAGAAGACCGCAA